AAAUAAGAAGCAAUUUUGCAUUUAAUUUCGACUUAAAAGUUAGAAUAUAAUUAUAUUCCUUAUUUA
rnacentral:tRNA from 1 species